rnacentral:rRNA from 1 species
GUGCCAGCCGCCGCGGUAAGACGGAGGGUGCAAGCGUUGUUCGGAAUCAUUGGGCGUACAGGGUGCGCAGGCGGCCUGGCAUGUCCGAUGUGAAAGCCCGGGGCUCAACCCCGGAAUCGCAUUGGAAACUGUCAGGCUUGAGUCCGAGAGGGGCCAGUGGAAUUCCUGGUGUAGGGGUGAAAUCCGUAGAGAUCAGGAGGAACACCGGCGGCGAAAGCGACUGGCUGGAUCGGGACUGACGCUGAGGCACGAAAGCGUGGGCAGCGAACAGGAUUAGAUACCCGAGUAGUCC